UACGGAGGGGGCCAGCGUUGUUCGGAAUUAUUGGGCGUAAAGGGCGCGCAGGCGGUCAUGCAAGUCAGUUGUGAAAUCCCCUGGCUUACCCAGGGAACUGCUUCUGAAACUGCAUGACUUGAGUCCGGGAGAGGAGAGUGGAAUUCCCAGUGGAGCGGUGGAAUGCGUAGAUAUUGGGAGGAACACCAGUGGCGAAGGCGGCUCUCUGGACCGGUACUGACGCUGAGGCGCGAAAGCUAGGGGAGCAAACAGG
rnacentral:misc_RNA from 1 species